rnacentral:rRNA from 1 species
ACAGCCCAGCGCAUAACCUCCCGGGCUCCCAAGCCUGCGGCGGAAUGUUGCGUUAAGGGAAAGGUCGUUUAUAAGCCCCGCACUACAUAGCCUAAGUAUGGCUUGAAUAACCACUGUACUCUUAACGGAUACAAAGGCUCCACAGAGGGUGUAAGACCCGUGUGGCUAUGUGAUUAAAUGUGCGCGGGUUCGGCUUUAUUCCCUGAGAGUCGCGUUGCUUUGACAUGCAGCGCUAAGCAGGUCGUAAACUCGACCUAAGGCUAAAUAUUUUCACAGAACCGAUAGUAAACAAGUACCGUGAGGGAAAGUUGAAAAGCACUCUGAAGAGAGAGUCAAAAGACCGUGAAACCACUUAGAGUAUAAGCCAAUGGUAUUCUGGAAGGCUGGAGCAAGCCCUUCCCGUUGUGGGAGAGGUUAGCGUGUGUGUAUUAGAGAAGGCAUGGUGGGCAAGGAAGUGGACUUGAGUGUAUAUCACGGCUAAACAUCUCGCGGGUCUCUGACAGUGGUAACAGGGGAUGUUCUAAUGAGGAACUGAACCGAGGCUGGACUUUUGCGAGCUCCGGCUUUGAGACACACAGAGCGAGUUGCUUUAACACAGCUGCACCGCGAUCGUUUAUAAGUCUCCCUUACUGGGGUCAGACUACAGAGUCGUGGCGUGCGCAAGGCGGUUGUACUUCACGUGGCCUUCGUCGGCCGACUCGCUUGUCUAAACAUCCAAAGUAAGUGCGAAUGAUCCUAUGUGAACAUUGUGAUCUGACAGUGCCAAAACCCAGAACCUGGGCCGAACGUCCGUGUCGAUCCCCUCGGGAUGUAGGGGCAGCUGUUUGAUGAUACCCGCCGGCAUCCUUGGGUAAUGGCAGAUCGGUGUUUUAUUCCAGAACCAUUGGUCACGUCUCGAAACACGGGCCAAGGAGCAUAGCAUGUGCGCAAGUCUAAGGGAUAAGAAAUCCUGGAGGCAAAGUGAAAGCGAAUGGUGUGUUUGUAGGGAGCGGCUUCGUUCCUUGCACUCAGCCUGCGAUGAGCGUAAUUCUUGUGCGGAUGACUGCGUCGCCGGCUUAAACCGGGUUGAACCGUCGUAAUAAAGGCGUCAUGCCGAUACGUUGGUGCAGACCCCAGGCUCUCGGUAAGGGUAUUUAUCCUUGAGAGCACUGUCGAGCGUGCAUGCUAUAACCCGAAAGAUAGUGAACUAUGCCUGGCGA